ACUGCUCAGUAACACGUCGAUAAUCUGCCCAUAGGUCAGGCAUAACCUCUGGAAACUGAGGCUAACACCUGAUAAGGAAAUUCUACUGGAAUGUUUUUUUCCAUAAACUUCGGGCCUAUGGAUGAGUCGGCGGUCGAUUAGGUAGUUGGUGAGGUAAAGGCUCACCAAGCCUAUGAUCGAUAGGGGCCUUGAGAGAGGUAACCUCGAGAAGGGCACUGAGAUACAGGCCCUAGCCCUACGGGGUGCAGCAGGCGCGUAACCUUUACAAUGCACGAAAGUGUGAUAAGGGAAUCCUAAGUGCUUUGCUUUAAGUAAAGCUUUUGCCAUGCGUAAAUAACAUGGCGAAUGAGUGGUGGGUAAGACUUGUGCCAGCCGCCGCGGUAACACCAGCGCCACAAGUGGCAACCGCUUUUAUUGGGCCUAAAGCGUCCGUAGCCGGUUUAGUAAAUUUCCUGUGAAAUCGUUGGGCUUAACCUAACGACGUGCAGGAAAGACUGCUGAACUAGGGACCGGGAGGCGUCAGAGGUAUUCUUGAGGGAGCGGUAAAAUGCUAUAAUCUCAGGAGGACCCCCUGUGGCGAAAGCGUCUGACGAGAACGGAUCCGACGGUGAGGGACGAAAGCUAGGGGGGCAAACCGGAUUAGAUACCCGAGUAGUCCUAGCUGUAAACUCUGCGAGCUAGGUGUUGCGUAUUCUUCGGGAAUAUGCAGUGUCGAAGCGAAGGUGUUAAGCUCGCCGCCUGGGAAUUAUGGUCGCAAGACUGAAACUUAAAGGAAUUGGCGGGGGAGCAC
rnacentral:rRNA from 1 species